GAGGGCGAGUCGCUGGCGGCGUGCUUACACAUGCAGUCGAACGAGAACGGGUUAUAGCUUGCUAUAACUGUCAGCUAAGUGGCGCACGGGUGAGUAAUGUAUUGUUAACCUGCCCUCGAGAAAGGAAUAACAGUUGGAAACGACUGCUAAUGCCCUAUAUGCCUUUAAGACAUAAGUCUGCAAGGGAAAUGCUUUAGUGCUCGAGGAUGGGACUGUAUGGUAUCAGCUAGUUGGUGAGGUAAUGGCUCACCAAGGCAAUGACGCCUAACUGGUUUGAGAGGAUGAUCAGUCACACUGGAACUGAGACACGGUCCAGACUCCUACGGGAGGCAGCAGUGGGGAAUAUUGCACAAUGGAGGAAACUCUGAUGCAGCAACGCCGCGUGGAGGAUGACACUUUUCGGAGCGUAAACUCCUUUUAUAUAGGAAGAUAAUGACGGUACUAUAUGAAUAAGCACCGGCUAACUCCGUGCCAGCAGCCGCGGUAAUACGGAGGGUGCAAGCGUUACUCGGAAUCACUGGGCGUAAAGAGCGUGUAGGCGGGUUAAUAAGUCAGAUGUGAAAGCCUAUGGCUCAACCAUAGAACUGCAUUUGAAACUGUUAACCUAGAAUAUGGGAGAGGUAGAUGGAAUUUCUGGUGUAGGGGUAAAAUCCGUAGAGAUCAGAAGGAAUACCGAUUGCGAAGGCGAUCUACUGGAACAUUAUUGACGCUGAGACGCGAAAGCGUGGGGAGCAAACAGGAUUAGAUACCCUGGUAGUCCACGCCCUAAACGAUGUACACUAGUUGUUGCAAUGCUAGACAUUGCAGUAAUGCAGUUAACACAUUAAGUGUACCGCCUGGGGAGUACGGUCGCAAGAUUACAACUCAAAGGAAUUGACGG
rnacentral:rRNA from 1 species